UACGUAGGGUGCGAGCGUUGCCCGGAUUUAUUGGGCGUAAAGGGCGCGUAGGCGGCCACGCACGUCCGUUGUGAAAUCGCCCGGCUCAACUGGGCGGGGUCAGCGGAUACGGUGUGGCUAGAGCAAGCUAGGGGGCAAUGGAAUUCCCGGUGUAGUGGUGGAAUGCGUAGAUAUCGGGGAGGAACACCAGUGGCGAAGGCGGUUGCCUGGAGCUUUGCUGACGCUGAUGCGCGAAAGCAUGGGGAGCGAACAGG
rnacentral:rRNA from 1 species